GAUGAACGCUGGCUACAGGCUUAACACAUGCAAGUCGAGGGGAAACGACGGGGAAGCUUGCUUCCCCGGGCGUCGACCGGCGCACGGGUGAGUAACGCGUAUCCAACCUGCCUCUGACUGAGGGAUAACCCGUCGAAAGUCGGCCUAAUACCUCAUGGCAUCGUCUGCGGGCAUCCAACGACGAUUAAAGAUUUCAUCGGUCAGGGAUGGGGAUGCGUCUGAUUAGCUUGUUGGCGGGGUAACGGCCCACCAAGGCUACGAUCAGUAGGGGUUCUGAGAGGAAGGUCCCCCACAUUGGAACUGAGACACGGUCCAAACUCCUACGGGAGGCAGCAGUGAGGAAUAUUGGUCAAGGGGCGGGAGCCUGAACCAGCCAAGUAGCGUGCAGGAUGACGGCCCUAUGGGUGGUAAACUGCUUUUAUGCGGGGAUAAAGUGAGGGACGUGUCCUUCAUUGCAGGUACCGCAUGAAUAAGGACCGGCUAAUUCCGUG
rnacentral:rRNA from 1 species